rnacentral:tRNA from 1 species
GCGCCCGUAGCUCAGUUGGAUAGAGCGUCUGCCUUCUAAGCAGAAUGGCGCAGGUUCGAGUCCUGCCGGGCGCGCCA